rnacentral:tRNA from 1 species
GCCUGCUUGGCGCAGUGGUAACGCGUAGCACUUGUAUGUGAUUUGUUGUAAUUUAUUGCAAUUUAUUACGGUAAUGCUGAGAUCAUUGGUUCGAUUCCAGUAGUAGGCA